rnacentral:rRNA from 1 species
UACGUAGGGUGCGAGCGUUAAUCGGAAUUACUGGGCGUAAAGCGUGCGCAGGCGGCUUUGCAAGACAGAUGUGAAAUCCCCGGGCUCAACCUGGGAACUGCAUUUGUGACUGCAAGGCUAGAGUACGGCAGAGGGGGAUGGAAUUCCGCGUGUAGCAGUGAAAUGCGUAGAUAUGCGGAGGAACACCAAUGGCGAAGGCAAUCCCCUGGGCCUGUACUGAAGCUCAUGCACGAAAGCGUGGGGAGCAAACAGG